AGUUCAAUUUCUGGGUCAUAUGAUAAGACCAUUUUUAGUUUUAGAAGAAAUUGUUACCUCUUUUCCAGAGUAGCUGUGCCAUUUUACAUUCCCACCAGAAAG
rnacentral:pre_miRNA from 1 species